UAAACGGUGAUAUGCCUACCAAUGGUUAUAAUACGGUAAAGCGGGAAUCAGGGUUGCGAUUCCUGGAGAGGGAGCUGCUGAGAAACGGCGCUACCACAUCUAAGGAAGCAGCAGGCGCGCAAAUUACCCACUCCCGCACGGGGAGGUAGUGACGAAAAAUAACGAUACGGGACUCUUUUGAGGCCCCGUAAUUGGAAAUGAGUACACUUUAAAUCCGUUAACAAGUAUCUAUUGAGGCAAGUCUGGUGCCAGCAGCCGCGGUAAAUUCCAGCUCCAAUAGCGUAUAUUAAUGUUGCUGCAGUUAAAAAAGCUCGUAGUUGGAUCUGAGGACAUCGAAUUGGUGGUGCCACCAUACGGUGUUACUGCCGAUUCGGCCUACCUAGUCGGUGCUCGCUCUUGGUGUUCUUAAUUGAAUGCCCUGAGUGCCCGGCAAGUUUACUUUGAAAAAAUUAGAGUGCUCAAAGCAGGCCAUUAGCCGGAAUACUUCAGCAUGAAUAAUGGAAUAGGGACUUCGGUUCUAUUUUGUUGGUUUUCGAACGCCGAGGUAAUGAUUAAGAGAGACAGACGGGGCAUUCGUACUGCGGUGUUAGAGGUGAAAAUUCUUGAUCGCCGCAAGACGAACAACUGCGAAAGCAUUUGCCAAGAAUGUUUUCAUUAAUCAAGAAACGAAAGUCAAGCGUUCGAAGACGAUCAGAUACCGUCCUAGUUCUGACCAUAAACGAUGCCAACUGGCGAUCCGAGAUCGUUUGCUUAUUGACCUCUCGGGCAGCCUCCGGAAAACCAAAGUUUUUAGGUUCCGGGGGAAGUAUGGUUGCAAAGCUGGAACUUAAAGGAAUUGACGAAAGGGCACCACCAGGAGUGGAGCCUGCGGCUUAAUUUGACUCAACACGGGAAAACUCACCCGGCCCGGACACUGUAGGAUUGACAGAUUGAGAGCUCUUUUCUUGAUUCGGUGGGGUGGUGGUGCAUGGCCGUUCUUAGUUGGUGGAGCGAUUUGUCUGGUUAAUUCCGAUAACGAACGAGACUCUAGCCUGCUAAAUAGUACGCCGAUACCUUUUCGUCGGUGCUGACUUCUUAGAGGGACAAGCGUCUUGAAGACGCACGAGAUUGAGCAAUAACAGGUCUGUGAUGGGCCCUUAGAUGUUUCGGGGCCGCACGCGCCGCUACACUGAAGGGGACAGGCGAGUUUUUCCUGGUUCGAAAGAACCGGGUAAUCUGUUGAAUUCCCUUUCGUGACAGGGAUCGGGGCUUGCAAUUAUUCCCGUGAACGAGGAAUUCCCAGUAAGCGCAAGUCAUCAGCUUGCGUUGAUUACGUCCCUGCCCUUUGUACACACCUCGCUACUACCGAUUGAAUGGUUUAGCAAAGGUUCCUCGGAUUGGUGCCGACUUGGUGGCAACACUAGGUCGGAUACUGAAAAGAAGAAGAUCAAAACUUGAUCAUUUAGAGGAAGUAAAAGUCGUAACAAGGUUUCCGUAGGUGAACCUGCGGAAG
rnacentral:rRNA from 1 species